ACUUGUUCCUGGGAAAGAUCUCACAAGCCCACUCUCCAGAAAGAAGCAUCUACCACUCAUCACCACCAAGUCAGAGGUCUAUUGUUUCCUGGCAGUCCACAGUCCUGUGGUACCACCUGAAAAUGUGUCUCCCUACAGGCUUGGUAAGAAGAGAGACCCGCACCGGAUGCGUGGUUUGAUAAGGAUCACCUUAUGGCUGGCAGAUGAGCCAAGGAUGUAGAAGAGCAUACCCAAAGAGGGCCUGCAGAAUGAGAGGAGGCAACAACCAAGACCACAGCACUAGCGAACACCAGCAUUAAAGCGUCUACAGAGAAACAAAAAUGAAUCUGAGGCAGAGAAGAACAUCUAGGAUACCAGUGCAGAAGUCAAGAGAGGACAGUGUCAAGUCAGUGUUAUAUCUAUUAUGGUGAGCAAAGGAAGUGAUUUCUUAAGAAGAAAUCUACUGGAGAAGAUGCUGUGAACAGUGUUGAAAUGACAAGAAAGGAUACAGAAUGUUACAUAAACUGAGCUGAUAAAGCAGCAGCAAUGUCUGAGAGGAUUGAUCCCAAUUUUGUAAGAAAUUCUACUCUGGGUGAAAUGUUGUCAAAUAGCAAUGCAUGCCGCAGAGAAAUCUUUCCUGCAAGAAGGAGUCAAGUGAUGUAGCAAACUUCAUUGUUAUCUUAUUUUAAUUAAGAUAUUGCCACAGCCAUCCUAACCUUCAGCAACCACCACCUGAUCAGUCAGCAGUCAUUACCAUAGAGGCAAGACCCUCCACCAUCAAAAAGAUUAUAAUUCCCUGAAGGCUAAUGAUGAUUAGCAAUAAAGUAUUCUUAAUUAAGGUAAGUAUAUUGUUUUUUAAGACAUAAUGCUAGUUCACACCAAUGGACUAUAUACAGUAUAGUAUAAACAUAACUUUAUAUGCACUAGGAAAGCAAAAAAACAUGUAACUUGCUUUACUGCAGAAUGUAGUGGCCUGGAACAGAAUCUGCAAUAUAUUUGAGGUCUUGCUAUAAUAUAUUUCAACAAUCAAAUUUCAACACAUCUUGACAGAAA